CCCAGCCGGUGCCCCGGCUCUCCGUGCCCGCCGCGCUGGCCCUGGGCUCAGCCGCACUGGGCGCCGCCUUCGCCACUGGCCUCUUCCUGGGUGAGCAGGACCUGGUCCCGGCGGGCGGGUGGGCGGGCGCAGAGUAGGGCGCGGCGUGGCUCAGGUUAAUCCAACACCCUCUCCCCGUCAGGGAGGCGGUGCCCCCCAUGGCGAGGCCGGCGAGAGCAGUGCCUGCUUCCCCCCGAGGACAGCCGCCUGUGGCAGUAUCUUCUGAGCCGCUCCAUGCGGGAGCACCCGGCGCUGCGAAGCCUGAGGCUGCUGACCCUGGAGCAGCCGCAGGGGGAUUCUAUGAUGACCUGCGAGCAGGCCCAGCUCUUGGCCAACCUGGCGCGGCUCAUCCAGGCCAAGAAGGCGCUGGACCUGGGCACCUUCACGGGCUACUCCGCCCUGGCCCUGGCCCUGGCGCUGCCCGCGGACGGGCGCGUGGUGACCUGCGAGGUGGACGCGCAGCCCCCGGAGCUGGGACGGCCCCUGUGGAGGCAGGUGAGCGCCCGCGCCUAGCUCUGCAGCCCCAGGCGGGGGCGCAACGGCUGACCCGCUCCCUCCGCAGGCCGAGGCGGAGCACAAGAUCGACCUCCGGCUGAAGCCCGCCUUGGAGACCCUGGACGAGCUGCUGGCGGCGGGCGAGGCCGGCACCUUCGACGUGGCCGUGGUGGAUGCGGACAAGGAGAACUGCUCCGCCUACUACGAGCGCUGCCUGCAGCUGCUGCGACCCGGAGGCAUCCUCGCCGUCCUCAGAGUCCUGUGGCGCGGGAAGGUGCUGCAACCUCCGAAAGGGGACGUGGCGGCCGAGUGUGUGCGAAACCUAAACGAACGCAUCCGGCGGGACGUCAGGGUCUACAUCAGCCUCCUGCCCCUGGGCGAUGGACUCACCUUGGCCUUCAAGAUCUAGGGCUGGCCCCUAGUGAGUGGGCUCGAGGGAGGGUUGCCUGGGAACCCCAGGAAUUGACCCUGAGUUUUAAAUUCGAAAAUAAAGUGGGGCUGGGACACACG
rnacentral:lncRNA from 1 species